CGGAUGUACGCGGUUGAUUAAGACAUAUAUGACAUUCAUGCGGAUUCGCUUCGUGAGAAUGUUGCCUGUAUUUUUGGUUCGUGCGCAGAGCUUAUGACUGCUUAGAGCACGUAUGCCCAGAAACAACCAGAGUCGCAAAAUGACUUGUACUUAUCUCCUCCGUCUUUUUUGUAAGAUAUCGCAGAUGGGUGGCUGGUUUUAAUGAUACAGUGAGUCGGAUUUCGGAUGAAUUUCGUUUUUUCAUGGGCG